UACGGGGGGGGCAAGCGUUGUUCGGAAUUACUGGGCGUAAAGGGCUCGUAGGCGGCCAACUAAGUCAGACGUGAAAUCCCUCGGCUUAACCGGGGAACUGCGUCUGAUACUGGAUGGCUAGAGGUUGGGAGAGGGAUGCGGAAUUCCAGGUGUAGCGGUGAAAUGCGUAGAUAUCUGGAAGAACACCCGUGGCGAAGGCGGUUCUCUGGGACGGUACUGACGCUGAGGCGCGAAAGCGUGGGGAGCGAACAGG
rnacentral:rRNA from 1 species